rnacentral:rRNA from 1 species
GACGAACGCUGGCGGCAUGCUUAACACAUGCAAGUCGAACGGCAAGGCCCUGCUUUUGUGGGGUGCUCGAGUGGCGAACGGGUGAGUAACACGUGAGUAACCUGCCCUUGACUUUGGGAUAACUUCAGGAAACUGGGGCUAAUACCGGAUAGGAGCUCCUGCUGCAUGGUGGGGGUUGGAAAGUUUCGGCGGUUGGGGGUGGACUCGCGGCGUAUCAGCUUGUAGGUGUGGUAGUGGCCUACCAAGGCUUUGACAGGUGGCCGGCCUGAGAGGGUGACCGGCCACACUGCGACGGAGCUACGGCCCAGACUCCUACGGGAGGCAGCAGUGCGGAAGAUUGCACAAUGGGCGGAAGCCUGAUGCAGCAACGCCGCGUGGGGGAUGACGGCCUGCGGGUUGUAUACCGCUGUCGCCUGUUACGAAGCGUUAGUGGCGGUAAUGGGUAAAGAAGCACCGGCUAACUACGUG